AAAAUAGGGCAUUUUUUGGGUCGAAACGUCGACCAAACCGCCUACGGCAGUUUGCGCUGCGUAGCUCUCGAAAAAAUACCCCAAAUCAAAAAAAAAUUCGUCCCAAACGGACCACCGAGCACAAAGUUAUGCCCCUUCAAAGUUUUGCCUCUCAAACUCGAACUUAAACUGAAGCUGGGUUGGAAUAUUCGACAAAUAAGAUGAGUUCAGGGGCAGAUGUGACAAUACACAAACAGCGUGUUUCUUUUUCAAAUUAUUUUAAUGUAUGUUUCUUUUUUCUAAUAUACCAGUACUACUCGUGUAUAUAUAUAUAAAUCCAGUAGGAAUUCAUAUUUAUUUUUUUUUCAUUUUUCAUUUCUUAUUUGUCCGUCCGUCCUCCUUUCUCUCUCUACCCCCACUCCUAAUCGCUCAUCACAUCACUCUCUCUCUACCUACCGCCGGCCGCUCCUCACAGAUUUUCGGAGACAGGUCUCAUCCAAUGGCGGAGGAUUUGGAUUUGGUGUUGGACACAGCGAUCACAGAUUGGGUACUGAGUGGUUCUCAUCGGAGUCCUUCGCUACUUCGUCGCUAAGCUCACUGACUGACUGGCAAAACAUAGUUAGGGCUAGGAAUAUACAGGCCUCUGCGAAUUUCAUCCCUCCAAAGACGUUUCGUGCUCCGAAGGGUUUAUUUCACCAAUGAGGUUUGAUUAUGUUUUCAUUUAAUUUAUUGAAGGAUUUGAAUUCAUCUUUCCCUAUUUGGUAUGAAUACGAAAAGUACUACUGAUUUUGAUGUCGUAGGAAGUGAAAUAUUUGAUUUGUGUUUAUAAACCUGCUAUUAUUACUUAUAGAUUUCAAUGUAA